rnacentral:lncRNA from 1 species
GGAGGGAGAUUGUGGUUCCUCUUUAUGUCUGACCAGAACAGUCGAUCUUGUGUUAUUAAAACAGCUCCUACCUGCCCCUGAGUGAGGGGCACACGUAUUAAAAUACAGCCAUGAAACAUGUGUUUAGUUAUGAUAGCGCUUAUGUAGUUUUAAAUGCUGUUUCUUUGGAACGAAGAUCUGCGGAAAAGAAAAAGAAUUUGCAACAACGUGAUAUUGUGGAAAUAUUAAAGAGACAUACUUACCUAUGAAUCUGUAAGAGUGACAAAGAUGGGUUACAGAUAAUACCAGAAAAAUAUGCUAUCUGAGGUUCCAUUGAGUGAGGCUGAAUCUGGUGCUGUCACCAACCUAAGCUUCCAAAUCAAAGGAGAAUAAUUUACUAUCUGGAAGAGUUCUUCCUGUCUGCUGUGCAAAACCCCUUUAGGUUGCAGCUGCAUUGUAGCACAUGAGAGGUGUUACACGGUUUUGAUUUGCAGAUGACUGUGCCAGGCUGUGUACAUAGAGAGUGUGGGGUCUGUGUGUGAGCAUGUGGAGGUUCUUACUCAAGUAGUUAACAGACUUGCUACUGGAAGAUAAGUCACAAAGAUGAGAUGUUUCUAUCCUGCUACCAAGGGACUGGGCAACUGAAGACAGUGCUACUUUCUUAAGAGUGGUACAGUUAUACUUGCUUUUCACUCUGUCCUAGUAAAUCAUUAAAUUGACAACACUAAAACAAUACAAUUGAAAAUAUGUCAAAUGCAAGUAGCUCCUUGAGGGUCUGAGCUAAUGAGUCGAUGUCUUUAUGGUCUGUGCUUUGUGCUUGUUUUCGUAUAUGCUU